rnacentral:SRP_RNA from 2 species
GCUGGGUGUGGUGGCGGGUACCUGUAGUCCCAGCUACUCGGGAGGCUGAGACAGGGGAAUGGCUUGAACCCAGGAGGCAGAGGUUGCAGUGAGCCGAGAUCACCCCACUGCACUCCAGCCUGGGUGACAGAGCGAGACUCUGUCUCAA